GCCUGACUGGCUUAGUCAGUAGAGCAUGUGACUCUUGAUUUCAAGGUUGUGAGUUCAAGCCCCAUGUUGGGUG
rnacentral:tRNA from 1 species